CAUUAUGAAGCUAGCCUAGCGUUAACCUUUUAAGUUAAAGAUUAGGAGUUAGAUCUCCUCAUAAUGA
rnacentral:tRNA from 1 species